rnacentral:rRNA from 1 species
GAAGGUGUGUCGUGAGGCAUGCUGGAGGUAUCAGAAGUGCGAAUGCUGACAUAAGUAACGAUAAAGCGGGUGAAAAGCCCGCUCGCCGGAAGACCAAGGGUUCCUGUCCAACGUUAAUCGGGGCAGGGUGAGUCGACCCCUAAGGCGAGGCCGAAAGGCGUAGUCGAUGGGAAACGGGUUAAUAUUCCCGUACUUGGUGUUACUGCGAAGGGGGGACGGAGAAGGCUAUGUUGGCCGGGCGACGGUUGUCCCGGUUUAAGCGUGUAGGUGUGUGUUCCAGGUAAAUCCGGUUCACUUUAACACUGAGGCGUGACGACGAGGCACUACGGUGCUGAAGCAACAAAUGCCCUGCUUCCAGGAAAAGCCUCUAAGCAUCAGGUAACAUCAAAUCGUACCCCAAACCGACACAGGUGGUCAGGUAGAGAAUACCAAGGCGCUUGAGAGAACUCGGGUGAAGGAACUAGGCAAAAUGGUGCCGUAACUUCGGGAGAAGGCACGCUGACAUGUAGGUGAAGUGAUUUACUCAUGGAGCUGAAGUCAGUCGAAGAUACCAGCUGGCUGCAACUGUUUAUUAAAAACACAGCACUGUGCAAACACGAAAGUGGACGUAUACGGUGUGACGCCUGCCCGGUGCCGGAAGGUUAAUUGAUGGGGUCAGCGCAAGCGAAGCUCCUGAUCGAAGCCCCGGUAAACGGCGGCCGUAACUAUAACGGUCCUAAGGUAGCGAAAUUCCUUGUCGGGUAAGUUCCGACCUGCACGAAUGGCGUAAUGAUGGCCAGGCUGUCUCCACCCGAGACUCAGUGAAAUUGAACUCGCUGUGAAGAUGCAGUGUACCCGCGGCAAGACGGAAAGACCCCGUGAACCUUUACUAUAGCUUGACACUGAACAUUGAGCCUUGAUGUGUAG